AUGACUUCAGAAGACAAUUAUAAAAUGCAUCGAAUUAUUAUUUAUUCAAUUGUUUUUAUUUUUGAAAUUCUCGGAUUGUUUGGAAAUAUCAAUUUGAUUGCCGUGAUUUUAAGAAAUAAAGUAUUGAGGUCCAAUUUUGGUCUCAUUAUGCUCUGCCUUGCAUUUUUCCACACUGUCUGUUUAUUUUUUGAGCUAAUCAAUAUGGGAUUUGGAAUUCUUGAUGUGUAAUCCUCCCUCUUCAAUGGUUCCGUCAGUUCGACAACGUUGGUACGAGAUUAUGCUUAUAUUUUCAUUCCUUACAGUUAUUCUCUAUUCGGGUGCAUUUGGUUUAUUAUCGGUGAAGAUGCGUCGAAACUCAUCAGACAUCCGUCUAAUCGAGAAGAAAGCUCUUCGAACAUUAAAAGUUCUAAUUGUAAUCUUCCUUUUUACUCGAUUCUUCUCAACUGGCCUUGCAACAUUAGUAACAAGUCUCGGAAUAGACCCGGAAUAUUCUGCACUUGUUCAUAAUUAUAAUGUGAUUCCAGCAAUGGCUGCAUAUUCACAAAAUACGUAUGUAUGUUUCUUCCGUAGUGAGGAAUAUCGUAGAUUGCUCACGGAGCAGUUUUCAAUUUAUUUUCCAUGUAUGAAGAUUGUACUUCCAGUCAAGAUAACGGAGAGGAGUACCAGUAUUAAAAGAGGCCCAACUAUUGUUGUUAAAAUUUAA
rnacentral:misc_RNA from 1 species